CGAACGAUUAAAGCUCCCUUCGGGGAGUGCAUAAAGUGGCGCACGGGUGAGUAACACGUAAGUAAUCUACCCUCGGGUGGGGAAUAACGUUCGGAAACGGACGCUAAUACCGCAUAAUGCAGCGGCACCGCAAGGUGACAGUUGUUAAAGAUUUAUUGCCUGGGGAGGAGCUUGCGGCAGAUUAGCUUGUUGGUAAGGUAACGGCUUACCAAGGCGACGAUCUGUAUCCGGUCUAAGAGGACGGUCGGACACACUGACACUGAAUAACGGGUCAGACUCCUACGGGAGGCAGCAGUCGGGAAUUUUGGGCAAUGGGGGAAACCCUGACCCAGCAACGCCGCGUGAAGGAUGAAGUAUUUCGGUAUGUAAACUUCGAAAGAAUAGGAAGAAUUAAUGACGGUACUAUUUAUAAGGUCCGGCUAACUACGUGCCAGCAGCCGCGGUAAUACGUAGGGACCAAGCGUUGUUCGGAUUUACUGGGCGUAAAGGGCGCGUAGGCGGCGCGGUAAGUCACUUGUGAAAUCUCUGAGCUUAACUCAGAGCGGCCAAGUGAUACUGCAGUGCUAGAGUGUGGAAAGGGGCAAUCGGAAUUCUUGGUGUAGCGGUGAAAUGCGUAGAUAUCAAGAGGAACACCUGAGUGAAGACGGGUUGCUGGGCCAACACUGACGCUGAGCCGCCGAAAGCCAGGGAGCAAACGGGAUUAGAUACCCCGGUAGUCUGCCCUAACGAUGAUACUUGUGUUCUGAGUUUAUGCUCCGGUGCGUCGCU
rnacentral:rRNA from 1 species